rnacentral:rRNA from 1 species
AUGCAUUUUGAUUUGCAAAACCUUCUUGGUAACCAGAUAAACCCAGAGAUUUUCAGAGAUAUUGAGCAACCAUUUUCAGAUGAGGAAAUCAACAAUGUUGUUAAGGAGCUGCCUACUGACAAAUCUCCUCGGCCAGAUGGAUUCAAUAAUGAGUUUUUAAAAGCAUGCUGGGAUAUUAUAGGUGCUGAUGUCAGAAAAUUGGUUCAUGCCUUCCAUGGAAGUAAUAUUUCUCUUGUGAGCAUCAACACUUCAUAUAUCACUCUAAUCCCCAAGAAUAAUGCUCCCAUCACUCUUAGUGAUUUUAAACCAAUUUCUUUGCUUAAUGGGGUUCUUAAGAUCAUCACUAAAUUACUCGCAAACAGAUUGCAAAAGGUUAUUCUUCAGAUGAUACACAUCAACCAAUAUGGUUUUCUGAAAGACAUGGUUAUUCAAGAUUGUUUGGGGUGGUCUUAUGAAUAUGUUCAUCAAUGUCUUAAAUCUAGAGAAGAAUUGCUUGUGCUAAAGCUAGAUUUUGAAAAAGCAUUUGUUACCAUUGAACAUCAAGCAAUUAUUGACAUCGUCAGAGCAACGGUUGUGGCAAUAAGUGGAUCUCAUGGAUACAAAUGA